CUGGGUUUGAAAAGCAAGUGACAGGCGAUGAAAGUCGCUCUCGUAGCAAUACGCACUUGUACAGGUGCUGCAUGGCUGUCGUCAGCUCGUGCCGUGAGGUGUUAGGUUAAGUCCUGCAACGAGCGCAACCCCUGCACUUAGUUGCCAUCAGGUAAUGCUGGGCACUCUAGGUGGACUGCCUACGCAAGUAGAGAGGAAGGUGGGGAUGACGUCAAGUCCUCAUGGCCCUUACAUCCAGGGCUACACACGUGCUACAAUGGCCGAUACAACGGGUUGCCAAAUCGCGAGAUGGAGCUAAUCCCUUAAAAUCGGCCUCAGUUCGGAUUGGAGUCCGCAACUCGACUCCAUGAAGCUGGAAUUGCUAGUAAUCGCGGAUCAGCACGCCGCGGUGAAUACGUUCC
rnacentral:rRNA from 1 species